GCCCCCUUAAAGCUAAAUAAACCCGCCAAACCCCAUAAACCCCUUAAACAAAACAUUUGUCACGGCCAGUAAAUGAGAUUAAACCCCCCCCUUACUAGCCUAAAAGUACUGUAAAGUAAACGUGAAAGAUAAGUGAAAGAAAAAGCACAAAAAAGCAAAGAUAGGUCCUUGUACCUUUUGCAUCAUGGUCUAGCCAAACCCCCUUUGACAAAGAGACCUUUAGCCCAAAAACCCGAAACCAAGCGAGCUACUUACAAGCAGCACUACUAGAGCGCACCCAUCCCUGUGGCAAAAGGGCGGAAAGACUUGAAAGUAGGGGUAAAAAGCCUAUCGAGCCUGGUGAUAGCUGGUUACUCAUAAAAGAAUUUUAGUUCAACCCUAAAUUUACCUUAAGCUACACCACCUUAAAUUUCCUAUUUAGGGAAAGUCAAUGGAGGUACAGCUCCAUUGACCCGGAAUACAGCCCGAAUUGAGAGUUAAACCCUCAAACAUCCACCAGUAGGCCUCAAAGCAGCCACCAUUAAACUGCGUUACAGCAACCAGAUAACUAAUCCAAACAACCCCCUUACCCUCCAAAGCAAAACAGAGUUAUUUUAUAAUAUUAUAAAAAUACCAAUGCUAGAACUAGUAAUAAGAAAUUAUUCUCUCGGCACACCCUUAAAUCAGAACAGAAAAGCUACUGAAAAUUAACAGCCUACGACAGACACAAACAAGACCCCCUGUCACCUUUUACCUGUUACCCCGACACAGGCGUGCACAAAAGAAAGGUUAAAAGGUGUAAAAGGAACUCGGCAACCCCCGAUCCCAACUGUUUACCAAAAACAUAGCCUUUAGCCAAACAAGUAUUAAAGGUACCACCUGCCCAGUGACUCUUUCAACGGCCGCGGUAUCCUAACCGUGCAAAGGUAGCAUAAUCACUUGUCCUAUAAAUAAGGACUAGAAUGAAUGGUCACAUGAGGAUCGAACUGUCUCUUGCACUCGACCAAUAAACCUGAUCUUUUAGUCCAAAAGCUAAAAUAAACCCAUAAGACGAGAAGACCCUGUGGAGCUUAAAACCAAACCCAGCCCAACUGGCCCCUUGGUUUUUAGUUGGGGCAACUCCGGAGAACAAAAAUCCUCCGGCAUGGACCCCCCCCCCCAGAUCAACACAUCAAAGGACCCACAACCCUUGAUCCAGUAGCCCCCCAGCUAUCUGACCAACGAACCAAGUUACCCCAGGGAUAACAGCGCCAUCCCCUUCUAGAGUCCAUAUCAACAAGGGGGUUUACGACCUCGAUGUUGGAUCAGGACACCCAAAUAGUGCAGUCGCUAUUAAAGGUUCGUUUGUUCAACGAUUAAAGUCCUACGUGAUCUGAGUUCAGACCGGAGAAAUCCAGGUCGGUUUCUAUCUAUGUAUAGUCACCCCUAGUACGAAAGGACCGGGAUAACAGGACCCAUGCUAAUGGUACGUCCUACAAAAACUGCUGACUUCCACUAAAGUUAGCCUGGACAUCACCGUCCCCACAUGAGGGCA
rnacentral:rRNA from 1 species